rnacentral:rRNA from 1 species
UCUUACGACCACACCGGCCUGAGUACGCCUGAUCUCGUCUGAUCUCGGAAGCUAAGCAGGGUCGGGCCUGGUUAGUACUUCGAUGUGAGACGCCCUGGGAAUACCAGGUGCUGUAAGCU